rnacentral:rRNA from 1 species
AUGCGUUAGCUGCGACACCAGGUAUAAAUACCCAACGUCUAGUUCUCAUUGUUUACGGCGUGGACUACCUGGGUAUCUAAUCCUGUUUGCUCCCCACGCUUUCGUACCUCAGCGUCAGUUGUAUCCCAGAUAGCUGCCUUCGCCAUUGGUGUUCCUCCAGAUAUCUCCGCAUUUCACCGCUACACCUGGAAUUCCGCUAUCCUCUAAUAAACUCUAGCGAUACAGUAUCGAAUGCAGUUCCUGAGUUAAGCCCAGGGCUUUCACACCCGACUUGUAAAGCCGCCUACGUACUCUUUACGCCCAGUAAUUCCGAUUAACGCUUGCACCCUCCGUAUUACCGCGGCUGCUGGCACGGAGUUAGCCGGUGCUUCUUCUGUAGUUAAUGUCAAGACUAUCCAGUAUUUAUGAAUAAUCCCAUCUUGGCUACUGAAAGUGCUUUACAACCCGCAGGCCUUC